UCGCCUCUUGCAACACAACUAAGUAUAAGAGGUCCAGCCUGCCCAGUGACAAUAAGUUAAAUGGCCGCGGUAUUUUAACCGUGCAAAGGUAGCGUAAUCACUUGUCUUCUAAAUAAAGACCUGUAUGAAUGGCUAAACGAGGGCUUAACUGUCUCCCUUUUCAAGUCAGUGAAAUUGAUCUGCCCGUGCAGAAGCGGACAUAAAUAUACAAGACGAGAAGACCCUUUGGAGCUUAAGGUACAAAUCUUCAACCACGUCAAGCGACUCGAUAAAAAGCGACAAACUUUGUGGUAUCUGAGAUCAACCUUCGGUUGGGGCGACCAUGGAGUAAAAAAUAUCAUCCAAGUGGAAUGGGACAAACCUUCCCUAAAACCAAGAAAGACAUUUCUAAGCCACAGAAAAUCUGACCAUAAAUGAUCCGGUCAACAUGACCGAUUAACGAAUCAAGUUACCCCAGGGAUAACAGCGCAAUCCCCUCCCAGAGUCCAUAUCGACGAGGGGGUUUACGACCUCGAUGUUGGAUCAGGACAUCCUAAUGGUGCAGCCGCUAUUAAGGGUUCGUUUGUUCAACGAUUAAAGUCCUACGUGAU
rnacentral:rRNA from 1 species